AAAAAAAAAAAAAGAGAGAAGGCAUUCAUAAUACACGACACUAAUUCUGUUUGAGACUACUCAUAUUCAUAACAUAAGACAUUUAAGCUAUAUUUGGUUAGCUUUGGAAAUGGGAAUAUAAUGUAAUUUUUGGAAUAUAUGGUUCACAAGGAAUUCAAUUUUUUUUUAAUAAUAUUUUUUAUUUGAAUAACUUGAAUUUAUGUGGAAAAGAGUUUUACUUCUAAGUAUAAUUUUUAACAUUCCCAUUAAAUUCAGUUGGUUUUUUUUCAAAAACACACUUGGAAUAGAUUUUUUUA
rnacentral:misc_RNA from 1 species